rnacentral:tRNA from 1 species
GCCUGGCUGGCUCAGUCGGUAGAGCAUGGGACUCUUGAUCUCAGGGUCAUUAGUUCAAGCCCCAUGUUGGGUG